UUUAAGGUUGACCUCGGAUCAGGUAGGGAUACCCGCUGAACUUAAGCAUAUCAAUAAGCGGAGGAAAAGAAACCAACCGGGAUUGCCUCAGUAACGGCGAGUGAAGCGGCAAGAGCUCAAAUUUGAAAUCUGGCCCCUUCGGGGUCCGAGUUGUAAUUUGCAGAGGAUGCUUCGGAUGCGGCCCCUGUCUAAGUGCCCUGGAACGGGCCGUCGGAGAGGGUGAGA
rnacentral:rRNA from 1 species